rnacentral:rRNA from 1 species
UACGCAGGGUGCAAGCGUUGUCCGGAAUUAUUGGGCGUAAAGAGCUCGUAGGCGGUUUGUCGCGUCUGCUGUGAAAACCCGAGGCUCAACCUCGGGCCUGCAGUGGGUACGGGCAGACUAGAGUGCGGUAGGGGAGAUUGGAAUUCCUGGUGUAGCGGUGGAAUGCGCAGAUAUCAGGAGGAACACCGAUGGCGAAGGCAGAUCUCUGGGCCGUAACUGACGCUGAGGAGCGAAAGCAUGGGGAGCGAACAGG